UUGUAGUGAGGGCUUCGAUUGAAGCGACUAAUCCAACACCUGCGGAGUUUCCAAGAAGAAAGGCAAGUUGAAGGCUGUGAUCGAUGUUGAAGAAUCCGAUGAGGAUCCUAAGGCUGUUGGGGAAGAGCCGGAUAACGAGGACAUGGAGGAUGUCGAGGAAACUUCCCUUAGUCCACAUUUAGAUGAUAUUGAGAAAGAUUUUUCCAAAGAUAUCCCUAGUCAUAUCCGUGAUGGUUCUAUGGAAGGUGAUAUCCUUCAUGCUGAUGGCGGUUCUCCAUUGAUGAGCCAAGUUAGUACCCAAGUUGCAACUCCUGCUCCGCUGCCGAAGGUACCUGCGUUUUCUCCUCCUAGUGAUUUGCAGCCUGUUGCUUUGGCUACUACUAGUGACGUGGUGAUAUCCUCCAAGAGUCUUCCAUCUUUUCCUGCCACUUCGCUCCAUUCGAGUUGUUCGUUUGCGAAGAGUGUAGCUCCGAUUGUGAGGGUUAGUAGCUCAGACUCUCAGCCGAAGAAGAAGGUUAUGAUUUCACUUGCCAACUUCUCCUUCAAUGAUAUGCCCACUUCAUUAGGAAGUGCUCAGUCUGUUUCUACUGCCCCUGUUAGCAAAGUUGUUGGUCCCCCACCUUCGUCACCGGAUAGGACUGUACUGGGUAAUAUUCCUUCUUCUGGUGACAUGGACUUAGGUGGUGCUCCUAGUCAAGAUUUUUCUUCGGUUCCCAGCUCGUCCACCAUGUCGUCUCUUCAUCGUGGUGAGGGUUCAGUUCUUGUGCCCCAUGCUCGCUCUCAAGCGACUGGUGGGUGUCAACUGAUCUUGAGAAGGGUAAGUUACCUGAGAGCUUGAGUCUUGGGAUCUCCGACGAUGCUAUUCUUGAAUCCAUACUUCGGGAUUCUAAGGGUCCUUUUGCUGCUGAGGUUGAUCGUCAUCAACUGACUGAUUCUUUGGGGAUUGCUUCGAGGUUGGAUACUUUAGAUGCUCAGUAUCAAAUGGCUAAGGAUCUAUUCUUCGAUCCAGACUUCCUUCGCUCUAGUCAGAGUUUUGGUGAAGUCCACAGGGGUAGUAUCCAAGAGAUGGAGGCUUUCAUGGAUACCUACGCUGAUUUCCUUCCUCACAUUUCCUUGUUAUCGGGAUAAGUGUACUCACUUGAGUGCUCUGCUGGAGUGUGACCGCCAACAUUAUGCCUUUGUUAGCACACUUCAUCCUUCUCCUGGUGAUGCUACUUCUGUCGCCAGGGUAUCUUCGUUGGAGAACAAUCUGAGGAAGGCUCAGAGGUCCUUAGAAUCCUAUUUGCUAGCUCUUUAGAAAUCCAACAAAGCUGUGAAGGUUGCUGAGGAGGGACACAGAUCUGCUGAUUCUGCUUUGGCUGUUGAAUCCUCCAAAGUCAUAGGUUCGUUCCUUCUCCUCCUUAAGCUUUGUUUUUAUUUUUUCCUGGUAGUCUAGUCUCGAGAGAACCUACGCAUGCCAUCUGGUAGCACAUCUUCGGGAGAAGGUAUCCAAGUUAACCUCCGAUGUUUGGUAUUACCAGAAGAAGUUUGAUAGGUUGAUGAACGUGACUGUUCAUAAUGAAGCCCAAAUCUCCCUUGAGUCUACUCAUAACUCAGACCUUGUGAAGAAGAUGUCUUUGCUCCGUAAAGAAUGUGACAAAACCUCAAGUGGAAAGAGGCUCUCAUUUUAAAGCAAAAAGAGGAUAUUGCCUCAGUUGAGUAACGUCUCUCAACCCAAGAGAUUAUCGGCAAAAAGUAUCAUGCAGAUUUUGAAGAUGCUUGCGCUUCCUUAGCUAAGGUAACAGCCGAACGCAAUGUAUUGUCCUCUGAGGUUUGUUCUCUUAAGAACAAACUUAGUGAGGUUUCUUCGAAGACCUCCUCCAUGUCUCAUGCGUCUAUGGUCAAGAGAUUGGAAUAAUUAGAGAAUGUUUACCAGGUCUUGUCUUCUGAAAAUGCCUCGCUCCGGAUAGAUGUUGAAGAUCUCCGGACCGAACUUGAUACUCUAGUAGAGGAUCUUAAUGCUGCUGAGGAAGAAUUUUCCGAAGCCCAACAUAGUUUAGAAGAUUCCCUUAGCCAUUUCGGAGGUAGCAUAGGACCUUCCUAUUCCCGUAGCCUCCUUCAUUCCCUGUUACGUUUUGAUCUCUGUACCUUGGUAGCUAUUACUAUAAAGGAGGAAUUCAGAAUAAUAAUAGACGAGAAACU